CCGCCAGACUCCUACGGGAGGCAGCAGUGGGGGAUAUUGCACAAUGGGGGAAACCCUGAUGCAGCGACGCCGCGUGGGCGAAGAAGUAUUUCGGUAUGUAAAGCCCUAUCAGCGGGGAAGAAGAAAUGACGGUACCUGAGUAAGAAGCACCGGCUAAAUACGUGCCAGCAGCCGCGGUAAUACGUAUGGUGCAAGCGUUAUCCGGAUUUACUGGGUGUAAAGGGAGCGCAGGCGGCACGGCAAGCCUGAUGUGAAAGCCCGCGGCCCAACCGCGGGACUGCAUUGGGAACUACCGGGCUGGAGUGCCGGAGAGGUAGGCGGAAUUCCUAGUGUAGCGGUGAAAUGCGUAGAUAUUAGGAGGAACACCAGUGGCGAAGGCGGCCUGCUGGACUGCGACUGACGUUGAGGCCCGAAAGCGUGGGGAGCAAACAGGAUUAGAUACCCGGGUA
rnacentral:rRNA from 1 species